rnacentral:piRNA from 1 species
UGCCCAGUUGGUCAAGGUCCUAGCUACUAUA